GCGGCGUGCCUAAUACAUGCAAGCCGAACGCUUCUUUCCUCCCGAGUGCUUGCACUCAACUGGAAAGAGGAGUGGCGGACGGGUGAGUAACACGUGGGUAACCUACCCAUCAGAGGGGGAUAACACUUGGAAACAGGUGCUAAUACCGCAUAACAGUUUAUGCCGCAUGGCAUAAGAGUGAAAGGCGCUUUCGGGUGUCGCUGAUGGAUGGACCCGCGGUGCAUUAGCCAGUUGGUGAGGUAACGGCUCACCAAGGCCACGAUGCAUAGCCGACCUGAGAGGGUGAUCGGCCACACUGGGACUGAGACACGGCCCAGACUCCUACGGGAGGCAGCAGUAGGGAAUCUUCGGCAAUGGACGAAAGUCUGACCGAGCAACGCCGCGUGAGUGAAGAAGGUUUUCGGAUCGUAAAACUCUGUUGUUAGAGAAGAACAAGGACGUUAGUAACUGAACGUCCCCUGACGGUAUCUAACCAGAAAGCCACGGCUAACUACGUGCCAGCAGCCGCGGUAAUACGUAGGUGGCAAGCGUUGUCCGGAUUUAUUGGGCGUAAAGCGAGCGCAGGCGGUUUCUUAAGUCUGAUGUGAAAGCCCCCGGCUCAACCGGGGAGGGUCAUUGGAAACUGGGAGACUUGAGUGCAGAAGAGGAGAGUGGAAUUCCAUGUGUAGCGGUGAAAUGCGUAGAUAUAUGGAGGAACACCAGUGGCGAAGGCGGCUCUCUGGUCUGUAACUGACGCUGAGGCUCGAAGCGUGGGGAGCAAACA
rnacentral:rRNA from 1 species